CCAAAAAUCACCAAGUAACGAAGAGGUAGAAGUUUGCAAGUUUCGAAAAGGUUGAGUGUAAUCGCUGUUGUAGAGUUGUGAGAAAACCCUAAUAGAUACAAAGGAUUAGUGAACCGUAAUCGAUGUUGUAGAGUUGCGAGAAAAAGGAAGAAGUCUCACAAGUCACAAGAAAACCUUAAUCGAUGUUCAUUCACAAGCUUCCCUCACCAACUCUUGUUUCCCCCAUUUUUCAUUCAGAAACCAGAAUAAUCAAGCGAGAGAGAGAAGAGAGCGUUAUUGUUUUGCGCAUGCGAGAGAGAGAAGAGGAACAAAGUUUGUGAGAGAGUAAAGAGGAAUAAUAUUGUUUGCUGAGAAGAGAGACUAGAAAGGAAUAAAGUGUGAGAGAGAAAGAGAAGAAAGGAUUUUGCCGAGAAGAAACGCUAGCGCGAGGCAAAAU
rnacentral:lncRNA from 1 species